rnacentral:rRNA from 1 species
UACGUAGGGGGCAAGCGUUGUCCGGAUUUAUUGGGCGUAAGGAGCGUGUAGGCGGCCGUACAGGUCAGCUGUGAAAACUCGAGGCUCAACCUCGAGACGUCGGUUGAAACCGUACGGCUAGAGUCCGGAAGAGGAGAGUGGAAUUCCCGGUGUAGCGGUGAAAUGCGCAGAUAUCGGGAAGAACACCCGUGGCGAAGGCGGCUCUCUGGGACGGUACUGACGCUGAGACGCGAAAGCGUGGGGAGCGAACAGG